CGCGUAGGUGGUUAAUUAAGUCAAAUGUGAAAUCCCCCGAGCUUAACUUGGGAAUUGCAUUCGAUACUGGUUAGCUAGAGUAUGGGAGAGGAUGGUAGAAUUCCAGGUGUAGCGGUGAAAUAGCGUAGAGAUCUGGAGGAAUACCGAUGGCGAAGGCAGCCAUCUGGCCUAAUACUGACACUGAGGUGCGAAAGCAUGGGGAGCAAACA
rnacentral:rRNA from 1 species